GCGGCUUAACUUCUCCUACUCAUUUCAUACAUUAAUCUUCCAUUUUUCAGUUUCAUGUCACAGACGUUUCAUGUUCUUGGGAAUCAGUGCAAGAGUUAUUCAAACUCUUUAACUUGCACACCAGACGUUUCAUAUUAUUUUAUCCAAUUUAUGGGUACCAUUAAUCUGAUAAUUUAAAACUGGAGAUAAAAAACCGUUUCGCCUCUUUUUAGCUAGCUCAAAUAUAAACCCGCACACAAAGAUAGCAAACCUUUUCCCAUCGAACAGAUUAUAAUCUUGGAGAGGCGAACCUGGAUUCCUCUACAUCAGUUGUUCAACAAAUAAUUAGGUUUUAUUCUCUCUUUUUCUUCACUCCUCGGAUUUUUAUUCUAAUUAGAAUUCAUAGUGUUUAAGCGGAAUGUUGAUUGGUUUUGAAUGUUUUCAACCAAUGUGGUUUUGAUUAGAAUUGAACUAUGAGCUUGAAGUUAGCCAAUUUAUUUUCGACAAAGAAAAGAAGGAAAUUAUGGCGACGUUAAGUUUAGAUGGUUUUGGUAAUCACAUAGAGAGUUAUUUGAUUGGAUGCAUUUUAUUGUGUUAUGGUGCUCAUCAUAUUGCAGGUACUGCUAUCAAGAAGAGGACGAACUUGCGGAUUGUUGAUUCUAACUACUACUAAUUGUAUUUGUUCAACGCAUUUUUCAGCUUCUUUUUGUGGGUUUAUAAACAUGAUGAUUCUAGCAGUUCUUAGGUUGAUUCUUCAUUAUGUCUUUACGUUAGUUUUUCAUACGGAUUUCAUUUUGAACUAUAACAAUAAAAUUUGAUGAGGAAAAAGGAAUACCAUCCAUGCCUAAGAGUAAUUGGUCAAUUUUCUCAGUUUUUCAUGUGUUUUCUUCGAGUUCAUGCAUUGUGAUUUAUAUUGCUUUUUAGGAAUGUUCAGAUGAGAGUGCUGCCAUCAGACCUUAACUCUACAUAAGAAUCACCCUUUGUAUUUGAUGGAACAACAAGGUUAGAUCACUUUUUUGGGUACCUAUCUCAUUCUCUUUAGAAAUUGUGCACAGACAUUACUUGACUCUAAAUUUUUCCUCUUCAUUUGUGAAGGUUGUACGUUUCUUACAUGUGCGCUUGAAUAUACUCACCGUUUUUGGAUUGCCAGAAACUGUAAGUUUAGUACUCUUUUUAUACUUAGGUUUAGGAAUUAACCGUGGGGAGGUUGCAGACAGUCUAUCAAUUUAAAUAAUUUCUGACAAAUUUUAUAAAUGAGAUUUUGUGGUGUAGGGAACGCAAGGAAAAAUCAAUAUGGUACUAAUUCAUCUAACAAAUAGGAUAAAUUUUUAACAAAACGUCGGUGUUAGCAUCGCUUUUAGGUGUAACCUGUACCCGUUACUCUAUGCUUUUUAGGCGAAGAGUACUUCAAAAAAGCCACUCCAUGUAACAACACUACUUACUAGGCAUGUUAACAAUGUGAUUCUUAUAAGUUAUAGCACUAUUCCUGCGAAUUUAAUAAGCUACUCUUGAUUGCCUUGAUUUGGUUUUGGCACCAAUGUAACAUAUGAUGGACACUUCAUAAAUACUUUAAUAAAACUCUGUUUAAUGUAUUGUGAUUGAACGUCGAUUAUAACUAGAAAAUACUUUAGGGUAAAUUUUAGAAAUAAUUUUGUGUGUGGGUUUGGUUGGUUAGGUUUAUCUAUUGUUUAUGCAGGUCUUUUUAUAAAUUGGCUUCCAAUUUUUCUGUUUGACACCAUCGUUUAUGAUUCCUUCUUUGUCAAAGGACCUCAUAUUGAAAUUCGUAUAAUAAAAAUAACUAUUAGGUUGUUUAAGAUGGAUCGGUGGAUUCAGAUAUGGUUCUAAGUUGUUAUUGUUUUGAUUCCAGAUUUCAAGAUCUGGAUUUUUCCAAGAAAUUAGCGGUUAGUAGUAUCCAAGAAAACAAUCUUGAGUUCAUUAUAGCUUAAUUCUUCUUAGAAGUUUUUCAUGUUGCAUGUUUUUGUCUGCAGAAUGAUCACCAUCUUUCAUCCUUUCUCUCUGUAUGUUGCAGUUGUAGCGCGCACACAAUACAGUAGUUUAAUCUUGGCAAGUAAUGUGUUUGAUGAUGUUGGACACCGCAAGCAGAUGGUACUUCUUUUGGAUUUUUUUUUAUUCUUUUUUUGAAGCAUUACAUUUUGUAGAUGGGAAACUGCUUUCUAUAUAUGUAAAAAGUGUAGUAAGUGGUGGGAAAUAGAUAGUUUUUCUUUUUAGGCUAAAAAUUUGAAAUUUUAUUGAGAGCAUUCGUCCAAGAAUUAAAGCCACAGGUUAAUUACAAUGUAUAGAUAAAUAGUUUGAAUUACAAUGUAUCUCCUUCGUCGUUAGCAUCUGUAA